AUGCCAGGGCAUUGCUGGUUUGCAGAUUUCAGUGUUUGCCUGGCAUCUUCUCCCGAGUGUUGUGGCAAAGUGGCUGCGCUGGCAGCACCUGAGGAGCACCUGGUCUGAGACAGCACUGCUCCGUGCCAGAGCAGGGGGUUUUCCAAGGGCCAGUUGGUAAUUUCUUUGCUGAGGGUCAGUUUGCCAUGGCUUGGUUUGGGCUCAGCCAGCAGCUCUGCAGUGCACAGAGCAGGUGAAGGGACACCAGGGACCAGGUGUACUCCCAGAGGCAGCAGGGUGAGAUCUGGGAGUGAUCCCGGCUGGAAAAGGUUGGGAAAAGGAGGUGCACCACAGGAAUUGAGAGGAGCUGAAAAAGGUUGGGAAAAGGAGGUGCACCACAGGAAUUCAGAGGAGCUGGAAAAGGUUGGGAAAAGGAGAUGCACCACAGGAAUUGAGAGGAGCUGGAAAAGGUUGGGAAAAGGAGGUGCACCACAGGAAUUGAGAGGAGCUGGAAAAGGUUGGGAAAAGGAAUUUCCUGCACCACAGGAAUUGAGAGGAGCUGGAGCCAAGCCAAAGCCUGCAGGUGCACCGCGCUGCGGGAGACACCGGAGAUGGCACGGAGGACUCGCCGUGGGACAGGGAGGAGGUGGAGAGAGCCUGCCUGCGGUCCGAGCAGAGGCUGGAGGUGCAGGAGCAGCUGCUUGCCCUGCGGCACUGGCUGGACGCCGUGGAGAAGCGGCUGCUGGCGCUGCCGGAGCCCGGCACGGCCCU